rnacentral:rRNA from 1 species
UACGAAGGGGGCUAGCGUUGCUCGGAAUCACUGGGCGUAAAGCGCACGUAGGCGGCUUCUUAAGUCAGGGGUGAAAUCCUGGAGCUCAACUCCAGAACUGCCUUUGAUACUGAGGAGCUUGAGUCCGGGAGAGGUGAGUAGAACUGCGAGUGUAGAGGUGAAAUUCGUAGAUAUUCGCAAGAACACCAGUGGCGAAGGCGGCUCACUGGCCCGGUACUGACGCUGAGGUGCGAAAGCGUGGGGAGCAAACAGG